rnacentral:lncRNA from 1 species
GUUAGACUAUAAAUGAAAUGUGACUCCAUACAGUAUGGUCCUCAUAAGAAUGAAUACUGGAGCCAGUUAAACUUGAGCUUAAAUAAAAGUUGCAUUAUAACCGGCUAUAUGAUGUUGGAGAAUUCAAUUAACUUCUCUAUGCUCAUUUACUUCCUCUGUAAAAUGGGGAUGGUCUUAUGAUAUAGGUUAUUAUGAAGAAAGAAAUGAAAAUAUAUGUAAAGCACUUAGCUUGGUAUUUUAUUGAGAAAUAAAUGGUUUAUGAAGAAAAUUCACUGUCAGAUAUAGGAUUCUAGAGAGUCAGGGUUGGCACCACAAGUAGAAUUUACUUUGUGCUGACAUGUGUAUUAGGAACUGGUAAAACAGAAAAAAACAGUAUGUAAAGCAGUGAUUAAGUUUGGUUUAGGAGUUAGUGCUGGGCUUGAAACCCUAUUUGCUAUACUAACAAGCUUUGUAACCUUGGGUUAGUUUAUUUAACUUUGUUAAGCUGUUCAUCUCUAAAAUUGUACAAUAAUUCCUGUUCAGAGGUUUGGUGUGAGGUUGCAUUAAAUGAAGGGAUCCAUGUAAUACAGUUAGCUAAGUUUCUGGCAGUCAGUGUGUACUCCAAAGUAUUAGCUUUUAUUCUGGGGCAGUUUCAUGCUCUUGAGGAUUUUAAUCAUCCCUGCAGUUGUUUAAUUUAUAAAUAUGAGAAAACAAGCUUGAUGAUUUGUCUGGCUGGCCAGUGGUAAUAGUUGUCUUCAUCCUAGAUCUUUUGAGUCAAAAUUUUCUAUACUGUUUCCUGUCUAAUUCCCUUCAGCCCCCACCCUGUGGGAAAGACAGUGCUAAAGUUUAAACUGCUCAUAUAAUUUUAUAUUUGCACAGACUUGCACUCAAAAUUAAUCCACAGCUAAAAUUAAACUCAUGGAAACUCCUAGGCAAGGUUGCAAUUACACAAAAAAUAUGGCAAACUGAAAGAUCACAAUACCAGAACACAUUUCUAGAAUAAUUGAGGAUAUGUCAAGCUUAAAUAUUGAGAGAAUUUUUAAAAGAAAAUGGAAGAUACCUUUCUGCAAAUAUAAAGCAUAGAGAAGUGGCAGGAGAAGGACAUGAAAGAAAAUUUUCGUUGUUGACUUAAUUUAUGGAGAAUUCACAAUCACUUCAUGGGAAAUAAAUAUGAUCUCUUCUUUUUUCAUUAAUACAUGUUCAUGGCCAGGCAUGUAGCUCAGUGGUGCCACACCUGCCUGGCAAGUGCAAGGUCCUGAGUUCAAUCCCUGGAACUGAAAAAAAAUCUGUUCUUUUUACUAGUUACAGAAGUCUUUUGCUAUUUAAAACGUUAAAAAAAUUUAAUAUUUAUGUUUAUCAAUGAGGAUGUUUGUGUUUAUCAACUGAGGGUGAAAUAUUUCCUUGAACAAGAAACAAAUUAAUGUAAGAUAUCCAUUGUUAGAUACCUAACAGAAUUGGUUCCUGGUUUUGAAUUUUAGACCCUGGGGUGAUGAAUCAAUACUUAGCAUCAUAUUCAGAGUUAUUUUAGCCUUGAAAGUAUAGUGGUGUAGCUCAUGUCUUUUGCACAAAUGAACAAAGUACAAAAUCAAGCAGUAAUGGCUUUAAUCUAGUCAACCUAGGUUAGGGUCAUUCAUACUCUACUUGGUCUAGGUGAGCCCUUCUAGUUUUUGCAUUUAAUCCAGGCCAAAAGGCAUAGAGUUCCAACAAGACUGAUGCAACUGUCUUGCUUCUUCCUCUAUCACUGGGUGUUCUGAUUCUGAUUCAAUUCUUGUUUAGUUCCCGCCAUAGGAAUGAGUAUCUCUUACCAUUUACAUUGUGUCCAAGGAGCUGCGUCAAGGCAGUACUUUUAAUAUUCAGAUGUGGAUAUGAACUGAAAGGCAUUUAGAGAAAAAGAUAAAUUUUUGUGAUGGCCUGGAUAUUUAUAAUGAAAAAGGAUGAGUGUCCUCCCAGUUUUUAUUUACUCUCAAGUAACUGAGAAAAACUUGCUACUAUCCACAGAAUGAGGAAUGUGGGAGAAAAAGCACAUUUACAGAAAAAGGAAAAGUGAAUGUGUUGCUUUUGGGCACGUUACUCCUGAGACUCUUUUGGAUAAAGGCCCCGUUGUCUAUGGAUAAGAAUUUCUGGGAAAAAUUUGGACUUCUGAUUUCCCUGGAGGUGUCAUCAAGUUGUGAUUGCCAGUAGAUGCCAUGGGAAUGGACGAAAAUGUAAUGGAAGAACCAGACUGGAGCUUGGGAUGGCAGCGGUGGAGCUUCCUUCUGGGUGCUGGGACCAGCUGAGCUUCUCUGCCCUAAGAGCC